GCUUGGAAAAGUGCAAGGAAACAGGAGAUUCAUCCUUUUUGCUUACAAGUUUAAGACAUUAUCAACAGAAUUAUAUAAAAUGUACAUCUUUUAUGGAGCAAUUUAAGGCGCUUUCUGAAUCACUUGAUCUUGCUUUCCACGUGGACUCUGAUUCUCUUCCGACCGUUUCAUUAUUUUUAAGCAACGACGUUUUUUUAGUUGAAAUUUUAUUUCAGUGCGAAUCUUUAACAGACGGAGUUAUUAAGAAAGAAGACAUUCUAAUAAAUAUUUAUCACAC